rnacentral:lncRNA from 1 species
GUGAAGUCUGCGCCCAGGACCUGCAGAGGUGAGAGGUGCCACCCUAAGGACCAAAUCCCCAGAAGCCAGGUGAGGACAUCGGAGAACCGGGCUGCUCCGUAGCAGACCCAUAGACCCUGAUGCAUGGCUGGGCACCCUGGCCUGUCCCAGAGCCUGCAGAAGGGCGGAAGCCUAGACAAACUCAUCCGCUUCUGCUGUCCCAAGAUGACUUUCAGCCCAGGUCAGCCCAGUGUUCAGGUAGCCACAACUUGACCAUGGGGACCCCUUGAACUGGCACGACCUCCCGUCCGCACCCAAGUCCCCACCAGCCUGUCCCUCUGAUGGUUCUGGGCUGGGUGUGGCAGGGAAAGGGCAGAAGUGAGACUUUGACCUGGUGGGUGCACACGCCUAGGUGUAAAUCUAGCUCCAACAUCUUACAUGAGAAUGAAUUGAAUUCAGAUUCUUUAAUGGCUCACCCUGGAGUUUUAUCCCUCCUGGUAAUAAU